rnacentral:rRNA from 1 species
UAUUGCACAAUGGAGGAAACUCUGAUGCAGUGACGCCGCGUGCAGGAAGAAGGUUUUCGGAUUGUAAACUGCUUUAGACAGGGAAGAAANAAGACAGUACCUGUAGAAUAAGCUCCGGCUAACUACGUGCCAGCAGCCGCGGUAAUACGUAGGGAGCAAGCGUUAUCCGGAAUUAUUGGGUGUAAAGGGUGCGUAGACGGGACAGCAAGUUAGUUGUGAAAGCCCUCGGCUUAACUGAGGAACUGCAACUAAAACUAUUGUUCUUGAGUGCAGGAGAGGAAAGCGGAAUUCCUAGUGUAGAGGUGAAAUGCGUAGAUAUUAGGAGAAACACCAGAGGCGAAGGCGGCUUUCUGGACUGUAACUGACGUUGAGGCACGAAAGUGUGGGGGGCAAACAGG